ACCCUACCUAACUUCCCUAAUCCCUAGCAAAUGAAGGAAAAAUCAUAUACAGGCACUGACAAAUAGCAACACAAGAAAGGGCAACAAAAUUACUAAAGAGUAACGCCAUCCUCCCCAACUCAAACCAGGGAAAGUAAGCUUGCCUAGGAACUUAGGCUGAAACUCACCACAGUGCCAAAAACCUGUUUUCUUGAAAAGAGGUAGUGCAGAUAGUGAAUCCACUGAGCCACAUAGGGUGGGAGUUUGCUUUAAGUGCUUUUCUUCUUGCCCACAAACUAGCGUAGGCUGUGACUGGCUCCAGCUGAUCCUUAUCAAGGCAGCUAGUUCUGAGGGCUUGGUUAAGAAGCUCUUCGUUUACUUAAGGGAGCAAAGAGAAGACACGUGAAUUGGAAAAGGAUAUCUAAAAUGUCCCCUAAGGCUUCAUAAAGUUGACAUCUUUCGUCAUGACUUCUACAGUUCAGGAAACCAGGUAGCAGUAAACAAUUAUGAACUCUACUCACUCGCCCUAUCACUUUCACAUCAAACUGGGGGUACUGUCCUUUGAACAGAAGACUCAUGAGGAAAGCGCAGAUUCCUUCCAGGUGGGAAGAAAGCUUUGUCCCUGCUCCAUGUCUGCUGAUCUGCAGGAAGCAGAGAGAGCAGGGCUGUUCGACUCCGUUUCCCUAAUGAUGUCCCAGCCUCUUUCAGUUCUGUGAGCAAAACCAAGGCUGGGUUUGUUAGCACAGCCUGUGACAGAGCCUGGGCAGGUCCUUGUAUUCUGGCAAAGGCUGAACCAAAGAGCAGUCUCAUUGCACUAUUUACUUUCUUUUUGUUAUACUCUCUCUGGCUCAGCACAAUCAGUGCAGUCCGAUGCUGCAGAAGACAGACUGUUCCCUCUCUCUUCCCACAGUGUUUCUCGUCUACCUUUUGCCCUUAUUCAAUAGUGGGAAGAAAUUUCUUCUUGACCUCAGCAAUCCUUUCUGACAAUUACCAUAUGCCUCAAGAGACCUGGGAAGCUUCGCCCUGUCUGGCACAGGGAGACAAUUCCUAUCCAGAAUAAAACUGAAAGCUUUCAAAAAAAAAAAAAAAAGAAGAAGAAGAAAAGAAAGAAAGAAAGAAAGAGAAAAAGAAAGAAAGGAAAGAAAGAAAGACUGUAAUAAGUUACCUUGUCUCUGGGAGAUUCUGUAACAAUGAAUUGCACAGGCUAAUUAUCCCCUCUAUUAAAAAGUUUUUAAAAGGUUCCUCUUCAUCAUUUAGAGUAUGUUGCCUUGGCACCGGCCUGGAGAGGGUUAGCACAGGAGCCAGGCUGAGUUUAAUUAAAGAAUUUCCGUGUGUCAGCAGCAGGAGACUUUGAUUAAAGUGAGAAGCAGCCAAGAUUCCGGGAAGCGCGUCUUUCUCCUGUCUCCUCCCCAAGAUGUGCGGGUGUCCUUCCCCCAACACCAUGGAAGAAGGGGUCCAGGAAGAAAAUGUCACACUUGCCUGUGACCCCCACCUGGUCUGCAGAAAGGCAGAGAAGACCUGCUUAUGGAGGAAAAAGACGGCCUCUGUCUGGAGCUUCUAUGAAUUACAUAACGAAUAAGUGAUUUCACUACAAAGCAGUGAAAUUUUUAAAAGUUAACCAGUGGCAGAAGUGUCAGGACAGUCUGCACGGGCAAGAAUGAUACCUAAAUCACUACUCAGGCACAGGAGAGAGCAGGACUGGCAUGGCUGGCAGUUCUCUAUGUAGCAGGCGCUGUACUUUGGCCAAGCCAAUCUCCAUUUGCAACAUGUUUCUCCCUUACUUGACUCCACUAUAGAGAGAGUAAAAGCUAAAUUUUGAUGUUCCACCCCCACCCCCUUAUUGAUAUGAGAAAUAAGUCUUCUGGUGCAUUCCUCUCCAAUUUCUGUCUUCUUUCCACUUGAGCUGCCAGGAGAUGCAACAGUCGUUUUGAAACCAAAAAGAUAAAAACUGCAUACUAAGAAUGCAUGAACCUAAAGAUUUACAGAGCCUGGGACACUGGGGAUACUUGGAGUCAAUGUAUCAGCCUUGGACUGAUUCCCAUGGGACUUCUUAUUACCCAAGUGAAACAGUCCUUCCUUUCAUCUGUUAAGCCACUAUGGUAUGUUUUGCUGGUUCUCGUAGCCAAAUACAGUUUUGACUGCUAUACCCAUUUUUUUCUUAUGGAUGUUCAUGACUUCUUUUAUAUUGUGGAUUGUAUUGUGAAUAUGUAUCUUAUUUGUUGCAAAUAUUUUCUCAGUCUUUUUGUCCUUUAAUUUAAGAUAUUAUUCAAUGCUUGUAAGGUUUUUAUGUUUAUGCUGUUAUAUAUAUCCAUUUUUUCUGAUUUAUUCAAUUGAAAAAUUGAGAAACGUAAUUGAUAAUUUUGAACAUUAUCGAAGAAGACAUCAAUAAAACAAAACAUAGUCUAGCAAUUACAAAACAGAAAAACAGCAAUGAAGUUUUGUUUGGUUUGGUUUGGUUUUUUGAGACAGGGUCUUGCUCUGUUGCCCAGGCUGGAGAUCAGUGGCGUGAACACAGCUCACUGCAACCUUGACCUCCUGGGAUCAAGCUAUCCUCCCGCUUCGGCCUCCCGUGUAGCCAGGCCUACAGGCGUGAGCCAUGACACCUGGCUAAUUUUUAAACUUUUUGUAGAAAUGGAGAUCUCAUGUUGCCAAAGCUGAUCUUAAAUUCCUGGGCUCAAGUAGUCCUCCCG
rnacentral:lncRNA from 1 species